rnacentral:rRNA from 1 species
GAACCGUCCAAACGUUAUUCGGAAUCACUGGGCUUGAAGGGUGCGUAGGCGGCCCGGCAAGUUGGGUGUGAAAUCCCUCGGCUCAACCGAGGAAUUGCGCCCAAAACUGCCGGACUUGAGGGAGACAGAGGUGAGUGGAACUAUGGGUGGAGCGGUGAAAUGCGUUGAUAUCCGUAGGAACACCGGUGGCGAAAGCGGCUCACUGGGUCUCUUCUGACGCUGAGGCACGAAAGCUAGGGGAGCGAACGGGAUUAGAUACCCCGGGUAGUCCUAGCUGUAAACGAUGAGCACUAGAUCGUAGAGAUCUCCAUGUCUUUACGGUCGAACUGAAAAGGUUAAGUGCUCCGCCUGGGGAGUAUGGCCGCAAGGCUG